rfam:Turicibacter sanguinis PC909 contig00038, whole genome shotgun sequence.
UAUCUUAAUUGAAUAAAUUCUCGUAUAUGCCCGGUGAUAUGGACUGGGCGUCUCUACCUGCAAACCGUAAAAGUGCGGACUACGAGGAGUUGUAUGAUUUUA